UACGAAGGGGGGCUAGCGUUGUUCGGAAUCACUGGGCGUAAAGGGCGCGUAGGCGGCUUUAUAAGUCGGGGGGUGAAAGCCUGUGGCUCAACCACAGAAUUGCCUUCGAUACUGUAUGGCUUGAGACCGGAAGAGGUAAGUGGAACUGCGAGUGUAGAGGUGAAAUUUCGUAGAUAUUCGCAAGAACACCAGUGGCGAAGGCGGCUUACUGGUCCGGUUCUGACGCUGAGGCGCGAAAGCGUGGGGAGCAAACAGG
rnacentral:rRNA from 1 species